GCUCCUAUAGUUCAAGGGAUAGAACAGGGGUUUCCUAAACCUCAAAUCCAGGUUCGAGUCCUGGUAGGAGCA
rnacentral:tRNA from 1 species